UUCCUUGGAACAGGACGUCAUAGAGGGUGAGAAUCCCGUCUUGGGCCGUUGGUCCACGCCCGUGUGAAGCUCCUUCGACGAGUCGAGUUGUUUGGGAAUGCAGCUCUAAGCGGGUGGUAAAUUUCAUCUAAAGCUAAAUAUUGGCCGGAGACCGAUAGCGCACAAGUAGAGUGAUCGAAAGGUUAAAAGCACCUUGAAAAGGGAGUUAAACAGCACGUGAAAUUGUUGAAAGGGAAGCGCUUGCGGCCAGACUCGGGCGCGGGGUUCAGCGGGUGCGCGUCACCCGUGCACUCCCCGCCGCCCGGGCCAGCAUCAGUUCUGACGACCGGUCAAAGGCCCCCGGAAUGUGUCGUCUCUCGGGACGUCUUAUAGCCGGGGGUGCAAUGCGGCCCGUCGGGACUGAGGAACGCGCUUCGGCUCGGAUGCUGGCGUAAUGGCCGUAAGCGGCCCGUCUUGAA
rnacentral:rRNA from 1 species